rnacentral:rRNA from 1 species
UACAGAGGGUGCAAGCGUUUGUUCGGAAUUAUUGGGCGUAAAGCGCGUGUAGGCGGCUUUGCAAGUCGGGUGUGAAAGCCCUCAGCUUAACUGAGGAAGUGCGCCCGAAACUGCAUUGCUUGAGUACCGGAGAGGGUGGCGGAAUUCCCGAAGUAGAGGUGAAAUUCGUAGAUAUCGGGGAGGAACACCGGUGGCGAAGGCGGCCACCUGGACGGAUACAUGACGCUGAGACGCGAAAGCGUGGGUAGCAAACAGG